rnacentral:rRNA from 1 species
UACGUAGGGUGCGAGCGUUGUCCGGAAUUAUUGGGCGUAAAGAGCUCGUAGGCGGUGUGUCACGUCGGCCGUGAAAACCUGCAGCUUAACUGUGGGCGUGCGGUCGAUACGGGCAUCACUGGAGUUCGGCAGGGGAGACUGGAAUUCCUGGUGUAGCGGUGAAAUGCGCAGAUAUCAGGAGGAACACCGGUGGCGAAGGCGGGUCUCUGGGCCGAAACUGACGCUGAGGAGCGAAAGCGUGGGGAGCAAACAGG